CACAGCACAAAAUAAAUAAAUUACACACAUCCAACCAACCUCCUAGAAAAAUAUUGAGCUAAACUAUAACAAUAGUUGAACUAAUGCUAAGACUAGUAACAAGAAGCAUGUUCUCUCGGCACUCCUAUAACCCAGAAAUAGAAAAACUACUGGACUUUAACAGACCAAAACAGGCACAACACAACUAGUGUUCUACCAACUGUUAACCCAACACCGGAAUGCCCCCCAGACAGAUUAAAAGUUAUUAAAGGAACUCAGCAAAACUUGUCCCAACUGUUUACCAAAAACAUAGCCUUUAGCAGUAUAAGUAUUAAAGGUCCCGCCUGCCCAGUGAAACUUUUUAACGGCCGCGGUAUUCUAACCGUGCAAAGGUAGCGUAAUCACUUGUCUUCUAAAUAAAGACCAGUAUGAACGGCUAAAUGAGGACAAGCCUGUCUCUAAUAACUAAUCAGUGAAACUGAUCUUCCAGUACAAAAGCUGGAAUACAGACAUAAGACGAGAAGACCCCGUGGAGCUUAAAACAAAGUACUAACCAUCCCAGGCCCUAGUAUCCUGUUUUGAGUUGGGGCGACUUCGGAAUAAAACAUAACUUCCGAGCACAGAACCACCAGUUCGAGCCAAGGCCAACAAGCCUAAGCAAAACAUGGACCCGGCCCAUGCCGACCAACGAACCAAGUUACCCCGGGGAUAACAGCGCUAUCUUCUUCAAGAGUCCCUAUCAACAAGAAGGUUUACGACCUCGAUGUUGGAUCAGGACACCCAAAUGGUGCAGCCGCUAUUAAAGGUUCGUUUGUUCAACGAUUAACAGU
rnacentral:rRNA from 1 species